rnacentral:rRNA from 1 species
AGAGUUUGAUCAUGGCUCAGAUUGAACGCUGGCGGCGUGCUUAACACAUGCAAGUCGAUCGGUAACGCGGGGGCAACCCUGGCGACGAGAGGCGGACGGGUGAGGAACGCUUGGGAAUCUGCCCAUCAGCGGGGGACAACCCGGGGAAACCCGGGCUAAUACCGCAUACGCUCUACGGAGGAAAGCCGGGGACCGCAAGGCCUGGCACUGAUGGAUGAGCCCAAGUCGGAUUAGCUUGUUGGCGGGGUAACGGCCCACCAAGGCGACGAUCCGUAGCUGGUCUGAGAGGACGAUCAGCCACACUGGGACUGAGACACGGCCCAGACUCCUACGGGAGGCAGCAGUGGGGAAUAUUGGACAAUGGGGGAAACCCUGAUCCAGCGACGCCGCGUGGGUGAAGAAGGCCUGCGGGUUGUAAAGCCCUUUCGGUAGGGACGAAAGCUCUCGACCUAACACGUCGGGAGGUUGACUUAACCUACAAAAGAAGCACCGGCUAACUCUGUGCCAGCAGCCGCGGUAAUACAGAGGGUGCGAGCGUUAAUCGGAAUUACUGGGCGUAAAGCGCACGUAGGCGGCUUGGCAUGUCGGGUGUAAAAUCCCCGGGCUCAACCUGGGAACUGCAUCCGAAACUGCCUUGCUAGAGUAUGGGAGAGGGAAGCGGAAUUUCUGGUGUAGCAGUGAAAUGCGUAGAUAUCAGAAGGAACAUCAGUGGCGAAGGC